UUGGUGCUUGAUGUCUUGCUCCACAUGGCUU
rnacentral:piRNA from 1 species